UAUUUAUUUAAACGUAUUUGUAAUUUUACUUUGAAAAAACAUUAUUUUGGAAAGAGGAAGUGUUGUUUGCUUUCCGUAGCUUCACUCUUCCUGUGUUUUGAUCACAUUGGGUGAUCUUGACCUUCUCAUUCGUCAAGAAUGUCAGUCUCCCUUUUUUUCCACUCAAACAAUGAGGGAGAGGAGUUGUCAGAGGGCACAAGAGCAAAUCACAGGUUAUCCUGUGGAUGGGAGCACAAGCUGUGAGGCCACAAGGCUGUUUCCCCGAUCAUGCGGUUGCAGUAAAACCUCCUCUUGUGGAUGGGAGCACAAACUGUGAGGCCACGAGGCUGUUUCCCCGACCGUGUGUUUGCAGUAAAACUUCAUCUCGGCUAGGUAUUAUAGCUUGAUUAAGAAACCUCCGGAUUGGACGUUGGAACGCUGGAUACCUGGAUUCUUCUCUGGACAGAGAUGGCGAACCAAGCCCAAAGUGAACCAACCUUUGGACCGAGGAGCAUCAGUCUUCUCUCACAACUUCCAACCAAGUGGUAACAACACAACUACCACAACGCCGGGAAAGGAACUGAACUGAGAUAAAUCACGACUAUACGACUACACGACUAAAAAGGAUGAAACAAAACACUAAGCUCAGUAAGGACUUGUGGGGUUUUAUUUUAUUUUAUUUUAUUUUUGAGAUGCCGGCUUAUAGUAAAUUUAGUUAAUUGUAUAUAGUUUUGUUUGCUUGUCUUCCGGAAAUAUUAUACUCGUUCUUGCUCAUUUCUUGCCUCCAGCCAUUUCAUUUCACUCAAACCUCAGUUGUUCCUGUACUCCUGCCGAACCCAGCAACUGGUCUAUAUACUUUCACCUUAUUAACGUCAGUCAGUGGUUACACAAAGCUGACAACAAAGGGAACAAAAAUCUUGACUUUAGAGGUGGGUAAAAAGUUGGAAUGAAACAUCAAAAGCAAAAAUGUCUAAACGAGUAGUCACGGACAAAUGCUUACUACUUGGAAACACUGAUAUGGUUCACAACACAGCAUCAUCUAGUCUGCCACAAUCCACAACUGCCUUUUGUUUUGUUUUUUUGUUUUUUUUUUAAAUACUGUGGCCCCUAAUCUCUGUGCAAUUCGAUAUACAGGAUUUAAACAACUUUAAUCACCAAAAUCAACUCACUUAUCAAUUCAUUACAGAACAGUGCAUAGCACAAUGCUUUAAUUAAGCCAGGCACCCAGAACUCCUUAUUAAGUGUCUUUCAAUUAACUAGAUUUCUCCAACAAAAAACACUCUUCUGAAAUCCUCUUGUCAGAGGUUUUUCAGAAAUGUGAUUUGGUUUCCAUCUUACCUCGAGUCACUGACUGCAAACAUGUACACAUCCAUUGUGACAGCAUCUCUCAUUUUUCUAGCAGUCAUUGCUGUUGGAGAAACCGGCAACCUCACUGCUGGCACAGACGCGCUCAUUCUUCUGAUAGGGAGAGCAAAAAGCAGGUAGGUGUGAAAGGAGAAAUCUUCAUCUUCAGUGAGCUGGAACAGAACAAACUUACAAAUCACAAUAAUGUUCUUCAAUAGAAGUUCAACAAGACGAUUCGGCCAAAGAUAAGAAACAACAAGCUGAAACAAGUAGAACGAUGUAAUUCAAGCUAAAACAGCAAUUUUGUACCUUCAAUUCUAUCUUCAAUCUUAAAGCAAUAGUGCGUAACUUCGGUCGCCCUCUCGUGGAAUUCUGCGUUCUUCCAACAAUAAAGCCGGCUCUUCCACAUGACGUACUCCCAGGUGUCCCCGGUGUCCCCCGCUCCCCCCAACCGCUGCAGGGUGAUUCGCGUUUCCACAGCUCAAGUCACCGUUGGAAAUUGUUUUUAUUCUGUGUGAAUAAGGACAGCUGGUGAA